rnacentral:lncRNA from 1 species
CGUUGCAUGAAAUAAAGAGAUCGAAAGCUGUGUCAAAUGCAUUUUUUUUCUUUUUUUCUUUUUCGUAGCGAACUCCUUUUUUCACUUCCCCAAAAUUUGAUAUUUGCUCAGUUGCGAAUGUUAUUUCAGAAUUAUGCGUAGGAGCUAUCGCUUUAUUUUCACGGAAAAAAUUACACUGCUGAUUUAAUCAUUCAAUUGUUUAAAAAAAGUGACAGCAAUGUUUUAAUGUAGAUUUUACAACAAAAAAUGCCACUUUUUAACCACUAUUGUAAGCUAAUUUAACCACGGGGGGUGGUCAAAGUAGCAUUUUUUUGUUGUAAAAUCUACAUUGAAACAUUGCAGACACUUUUUUUAAGCAAUUGAAUGGUAAAAUCAGCAAUUUAAUUUUUCCGUGUUGGCUAAAAACUUAAAAACUGCAAUCCGAGAAUUGGAGAAGAACGUUGCAUGAAAUAAAGAGAUCGAAAGCUGUGUCAAAUGCAUUUUUUUUUCUUUUUUUCUUUUCUUCUUCGUAGCGAAAUCCUUUUUUCACUCUCCCAAAAUUUGAUAUUUGCUCAGUUGCGAAUGUUGUUUCAGAAUUAUGCGCAGGAGCAAUUCGGCGAAUUGCAGUCCGAGGUUUGCCGAGAAUUUUGGUUGAAUCGAUGCGACACAUCGCAGCCAGUUCGAUCGCGCCACAAAUCGCUUCGAAGCUCGCGUUGCGGUUGAGAUGAACGCGAUUCAACUGUUCAAUCGUUUUCUGACGAGGUGGAAAUUUCAAUUAUGAAGUGGAUUUUAACUCCUCAUUCGGGCCCUGAUGCCAGUAUGAGAGGUUACGCGACUGCCUAUCAUGGGAGUGAGACAUCUAUUCUUCUCGGUCGAAAAUCAACAUCAUGUGCAAGAUGAAAUUGUCGGUCUAUAUGUCUGCAGUUAUGUUUACGCUUACCGUGAUCUCAGCAAAUAUCCACGCCGAGGAAGGCGAAGAUUGCCAUCCUGAUUUUCCGGAAUGUGUGCGAAGCUUAUUCAGCUGCUCGCGGGACUGCUUGCCGCAGGAAAACACAAACACAACAUACGAACAUGAAUUGGUUCUGCGGUACAGAGAAUGCCACAAGCAAUGCCAAGAGACCUACGACCUACUCCACAUGACUCCUGAAGAUUGGGUGAAAUACACAGAGGCAGAAAUGGGGAACUAG